CCUACGGGAGACAGCAGUAGGGAAUAUUGCUCAAUGGGGGAAACCCUGAAGCAGCAACGCCGCGUGGAGGAUGAAGGUUUUCGGAUUGUAAACUCCUUUUGUUAGAGAAGAUAAUGACGGUAUCUAACGAAUAAGCACCGGCUAACUCCGUGCCAGCAGCCGCGGUAAUACGGAGGGUGCAAGCUUUACUCGGAAUCACUGGGCGUAAAGAGCGCGUAGGCGGGAUAGCAAGUCAGAUGUGAAAUCCUAGGGCUUAACCAUAGAACUGCAUUUGAAACUGUUAUUCUAGAGUAUGGGAGAGGUAGGUGGAAUUCUUGGUGUAGGGGUAAAAUCCGUAGAGAUCAAGAGGAAUACUCAUUGCGAAGGCGACCUGCUAGAACAUAACUGACGCUGAUGCGCGAAAGCGUGGGGAGCAAACAGGAUUAGAUACCCUUGUAGUC
rnacentral:rRNA from 1 species